UUGCAGAGGAUGAUGACUGAGGAACCGGAAAAUUACCAACGCAUGCUCCAUAACCUUGUUUCUAGAGCUCAGCAGAGCAACAAUGAAAAACUCCUGGAGAAUCCUUACCUUCAAAUGCGGGGUUUACUUCAUCUGUCAAAUGAAUGAUAUACCACAUGAUCCUUUGCUCUGCUUUAUGAAAUUGCUAUUUGAAGAAUCUUGAUGUUCACUGCUUCUGACAAUCAUGGAGCCCAACUGCAGGGAAAAGUAUUCCAAGUUGUGAGCCCAAGGAGGAUACAACAACAACAACAA